UUUUCUUCAAAAGAGAAAUUAAUUCACGACCCAUUUUUGGCCGCGUUCCACGCCCACAGUUUCUAUAGACUUCAGCUGAGGUUGCACCAUGCCUCCAAAGGGAAAAAAAAAGGCUUCAAGCAAUGCCCUGCCACUUCUACUCCCAGACAAAUGUUUUACACUCGUCCAAUAAAGUCUUCUCUCCCAAAAUAAGAAAGCUCAAGGCGCAGCACCACAAGGAAGAAAACCAGAGCAGAACAGGCUUUGGUGCUGCGAUAAAACAGUUAGCAGCAAACCCACGCUGCACCUUUAAAUGCAAGUCUCAGGAAAGCAAAAAAACAAGUUGGAAAGCCACCAAAGGCUUCCUUCACAUAGCCAGGCAGAAAGCAAGCCCAGGCUGUUACGGAAUUUGCGUUUACAUUUACAUACUGCUGGUGAUAAUCUACGCGCAGAGCUGGAAACAAAGCAAGUUUUUAUUAGCAAUUAGCAGCAGGAGCGGGGACAGAGCUGCCUGAAGGAGCCUGAGAAAUGCCCAUACACAAACAACCUUAUAAAAUGUGCAGCGGACCGAUCCCGAUACGAGAAAUCAUACGGAAAAGAAAGUAUUGCAGCUAUAAAGUGGGGAGACGCCAUGGCGUUUGCUCAAGGAGAUAAACUGUAUCUUUAGCACUGACAACCCUGACUGCAGGCAGCAGUUUUCCCUUGCACAGCAAUUUGCAAUGCAAAGCAAGCUCCUUCCACCCUCACCACCAACAGCAACUCAGAACACAACGGGGAGAGCAAAGUCAGAAGGGGCCGGUUUGGUCAGCUGGACGCGGUUUUCUUCAGAGCUAAGUUUCAAGUCAGGCAUGAAAGCAAUACGGCAAAACAUCUGAAAUAGUGUGAAAACUGGGCUCUGAAAAACCCCGUCCGGCUCUGAGCAGCCACCAAAACCCAGCUGUGUUCUUCCCCGGCUCUGGAGGACGGCGUGGCCCUACAACAGAACUGCUGAAAUCACAGCCAGGGGUUGCAAGAGGAAAGCCAUGGGCAAAUUCAGCGUGGAAAGCCCGGGAACUCCAGACGAGACGGGGAGGAGCGGCUCAGCACGCACAGGGCCGAGCAGGGGAACAGCUCUGGCUCCAGGGGCGUAAAUUUAGGGGAGUAAAUUCCAGUUCAGUUACAACGAGGGCCCGGCUUCAAACGCGCAAUCCUCUUCUCUUUGGUGGUCGGAUCGGGCUGCUGGAUCAUCGCCACGGCAGGCUGCAGGUGAGGAGGAGGAGGUCAGGUUAAACCUCUGCAACAUCUCCGAGGGAAAAGGGAGGGAGGGAAGCAAGCCUCAGCUCCAGACCAGCAGGAGCUGUCCCCGUGGGAGGCUGCUGCGCUCCGCCUUCAGCAGAACCCCUCCAGGAAGCAUCUCUCGUGGGGAGUCAUCUUGGGUCUCCGAAGAAGCCUUCGCUCUGCGUGCAGCACAUGCGGAGAGCUGCCAGCUGCUCUCUCCUCUUCCUGCGCAGCUCCUCGAUGCAGGUCUGCAGGUCAGCCUUUGGGAGGGAAAUGAGGAAAUUAGUCCCAGGCAGCCUCGGGCUCCUCCUCCUCCUCUAAAACCUGUUUGGAGGGGUAAUGUUCAGCCCAGGCUCAUACCAAUCUGAAGAGGUAUGGCCCCAAUUAGCCCGCUCCCCAUAUCCUCCGUCCCCUUUUUGCCUCGGGCAAGCUUCGCCGCUGUCAUCAUCCCCCUCCCAAUUUCUGUUUGCAAAGCAGCUCACACAGAUCUGCUCCAUUUCCCCCCCAUCGGCUCCAGGAGCACUUUGCAAACCAGAUCAGCCGAACACGCAGGCGAGAAUACACAGAAACGUCUCAAAACA